rnacentral:tRNA from 1 species
GUCAGGAUGGCUGAAAGGUCUGAGGCACUGUGCUCAGUUGUAGAUUCCUCUGGUAGGCAUGGGUUCAAAUCCCACUUCUGACA